GGCCCCUUAGCUCAGUUGGUUAGAGCAGGCGACUCAUAAUCGCUUGGUCGCGGGUUCAAGUCCCUCAGGGGCCACCA
rnacentral:tRNA from 1 species